rnacentral:tRNA from 1 species
UGAGGUUUUGGUUCAGUGGUAGAGUGCUUGCCUCACACGUAUGAGGCACUGGGUUUGAUUCUCAGCACCACAU